AUUGAACGCUGGCGGCAUGCCUUACACAUGCAAGUCGAACGGCAGCACGGGAGCAAUCCUGGUGGCGAGUGGCGAACGGGUGAGUAAUAUAUCGGAACGUGCCCAGUCGUGGGGGAUAACGUAGCGAAAGCUACGCUAAUACCGCAUACGAUCUAUGGAUGAAAGCGGGGGAUCGCAAGACCUCGCGCGAUUGGAGCGGCCGAUAUCAGAUUAGGUAGUUGGUGGGGUAAAGGCUCACCAAGCCGACGAUCUGUAGCUGGUCUGAGAGGACGGCAAGCCAAGCUGGGACUGAGACACGGCCCAGACACCUACGGGAGGCAGCAGUGGGGAAUUUUGGACAAUGGGCGCAAGCCUGAUCCAGCAAUGCCGCGUGCAGGAUGAAGGCAUUCGGGUUGUAAACUGCUUUUGUACGGAGCGAAAAGGCUUCCACUAAUACUGGGGGCUCAUGACGGUACCGUAAGAAUAAGCACCGGCUAACUACGUGCCAGCCGCCGCCGUAAGAC
rnacentral:rRNA from 1 species